UGAGGUCGACAUUUGAUGGGCGAAUUACGUAUAGGUCGAUUGUACGGGUUCCCGUAAAGUUUGGCAAAGAUGGCUCCCGCUCCAGUUGCAGUUUCUCCUUUGAUCAAGUUUGCAAGGUACUCAGCCUUGUUGGUUGGCAUUGCCUAUGGAUCAAGGCAUAACAAAACAUUAGAAAAGAAUGAGGCAUACAUCCUUGAUAUGAAGGCCAAAGCGAAGGAAGCAGAGGAGAAGAAAGCACAGCAAGCAACAGCAGCAGCAGCGGGUGGAGAGGGCAGUAUUUUCGACUAGAGCAUCUUGCAAGCCCAGUAUUGACCAGCAGUCACAAGUUGCCUCAAGGGGAAAUUCCCUACUAUGGAGUGAUGUCAUGGAACGUUUACUAAAUCCCUGAUCACCAUGGUAAUGUCGCAUUGGGAGUUUUUGAACACCACAACAACAUCAAAGAUCAUGGCCCUCUACACACAUCAAGAUUAGCCUGAAUGAUGAGAGUCUGGGAAACUAGCGUAUGGUAUCCUGGAACAUCAAGGAAGGAAUUGUGAUGGCAUUUGUGACUGCUUGUCCAUUUUCGCUCCUGGACUGUGUUGUAAAUCAUACUGUAUAAAAAUGAACUAGAUGUGAUGUGUUCUGCAGAAUGCAGAGAUUUAUGUAUUUAAUAAAUAUCCUUUGAACUUGUCAACAGUUUUACAAAGAAAAAGAAAUCGCCAUCAGCGUAUUCUUAAGUUAAUUUUAUGGAUUUCUCAAGAAAACACAAGAGCAUAUUUCAUCUAUAAUGGAAUUUGAAUAAAGCAAUAUCAAAGGAA